CUGCAUACUGUAUGACACUGAUACGGGUAAGAAUAAAGUAAUCUUCUCUCUAUUGUUUUAAAUGUAACUCUAAAUACCCAUCUGCAACCCAUUAAAAAGGGUGCUUGGAACCAAAAAUAGAUUUUUAUUUUUUAUGAUACAAAACUAGUGAGACCACCUCCAAGGAUAUGGUGGGCAUCUUCAACACCCACUAUUCUCCUGAGGAGGUCAUCUUGAGUGUCCAAGGUCAGGUACGGAUUGUUAUAGGUUAUAUUCUGUCACCAAUGGUUUGUUUUGUUUAUUUUGUUACAAUCUGUUUUUGUUUUUCCAUGGUAGAUAAUCAGACAUAUUUCAAUAUCUUACAUUGUCAAUAGAUAUCACUUUCCUACCCCCCUCCUCCAGGUUUGGUGAAUGGACCAACCAGGCCAUUGUGAUUGACUUAGUGUUGUUUGUCUAUUGCUAUUUUUGCUUAACGGUCUUUCAGAUCACUGAAACCCCACCUGAUGUGGUGGAAGUUGUCGAAACCAGAUCAGGACGCCUUCGAGAAUUACCUUCAGCCACGGACUGAGAAGGAUGUGGAGGUGAGACUGAACAUGGACAAGGCGCAGGAGAAACAGAAGGAGAGCUACCGGAGCAGAGUCAAGAAGGGGACCAAGUGCUACGACAUCCGGGCAAAUGACUUGGUUUGGAAGAAGAACGAAAGGAAGGCAGAGACCUUGAAAACCUCGCUGCUCCUAGCUGUGGUCACGAUCUGUUAA
rnacentral:lncRNA from 1 species